UCUAUUUAGGACGCAACAUAAAAAAAUAAUUGUCACACACAGCAGUCGCUACUUUUAGAGGUCAGAAUAUUACCUAAGAUCGAGGGUGUCGCAUAUUUGGAGGGUGGCCUUAAAUUGAACAAGUACGGUACUUGUGUAUAAUGUGUAGUUGGUUAUAAUGUGGACCCUAACUUUGGUCUUGUGCAUGAUACCCAGGUAUGUACCCACACAGAGUUCACACCAAGUAACAUAAAAGCAAACACUUAAAAACUGUUUUAAUACAGAGAUACUACACGUAGGAACAGAGCCGACCGACGUGGAGACGGUUACUAUCGCUACUGAAGAGGUGGUACCCAGUUCACAGUUUGAGAUAGAGAUAAGUCAGAGUGAUGAUGGGGAGAGUGUGGAGCAGCUACAGGCCAGUGACUUGGGCCCUAACUUUGGCCUUGUGCAUGAUACCCAGGUAAUACACACACACACACUUCACACCAAGUAACAUAUAAAAACUAGCACUUAAAAACGCUUUUUUAAAGGUAUCCGGCUUCUAAGACGUUUCGUUUUCGUAUUAUUUUCCCUUUCUUAUUACAUGGUUAGAAUUUGCAUGAUGGUAACUACCUCCCAAAUAACGAACACACACACACACACACACACACACACACACACACACACACACACACACACACACACACACACACACACUUGUUGUUCCUGCCCACUCACACAGGAGGUCCACACGCUAACUAGCGAUGAUGGUUUGCCCUCUGACAUGACCUCUGAGGAUGGCUCCACCCUCAACGCUAUAUGCCACGCCCUCAUCCAAAUGCAGCAUGGUGGACAGACCACCCCCUUUCAGAGUCUGGCCAAAAAUUAAUGGUGAAUAAAGAAGGCCAAAUUUAUCAGUGUGACGAUUGCUUUUUUGCCAAAUCCAGAAGUUAUAGUCCUCGAUAAGUUAUCCAAGUGCUUGUACAUACUAAUUACAUGUAGAACCAUGAGUAUUAUUGCUAAUGUUUGAGGUUUCUUGGAAGUGGUGUUGAGUUUUUACUAUGUUGUUGUGUGUGUUCAGGUCCUCUGUAUGUGAUGAUCCCACCAUCCAGUAGUGCUGAGAUACUGCAUGCAAUGGGUUGACCUAUAGCACCCAAGAUGAGCGGGAUAUCAACUAUGGAUUAUCACACGGCCGACCCCAUCGUUCAAAUGCAGUUGUGAGUACACAGUUCAUGUGAUUGCCUACCUCUGCAUAACAUGUAUGACAGUAUGUGUUAGGGAAAGCAUCAUUCUUGCUACAUACAGUAUUACUAGAAUAUUUUGCUGUUGGUGAAAAACCUUUACCAAUCAGCAACAAAGUUGAUCCUUUGCGAUUGUGCUAACUAUUGCGUUCUGGCAAUAAUCGUGUGUAUUUAUAGUCAUACUUUAGGUUUUGCGAUUUUAUUGUUGCAAAUUGAUCAACCCUCGCAAAAUGUGCAUAUGCUUGCAAAACAUUCUAGUAAUACGGUAACUGUGAGGAGUGUUGUUUUUAUGGUGGUUGGUUUGCAGGUCUGGGGAUAUGGCUGCCAACAGGGAAGCUCAGAGGAAGGCUACACACAAUGAAGGUGCUGCAAAUUCAAUACUGAAAGUUAUAGUGAACAACAGAUGUACAUGUACUUACGUGGUCAUAAUCAAAUAGAAGCAUUUCCCACAAAGUACAGUUACGAAACUUUAACAUCGAAUUUGCCACUUCUAAAACAUUAUUUGUUGUAUGGAGGCUAUCCAUCCAUGCUGUAACGUCUUAAUAAUUAAGUAUGCCUUGACUGUACAGUAGGUGUACGUGUGUGUGUGUAAGGUCAAGGUUCAUUCAUUUUGCCAAUUGGCUCAGCUUCAUUGUACAUGCCCUAAACACGAUAAUUACCAGUUGUUGUUGUUCUUCCCACGCCCAGUUGAGCGUUGGCGUCGGGACAGGAUCAACGAGCUCAUCAAGGUACUGGCUCAGAUAGUGCCUGCUUGUCAGAAGAAAGACGCAACUACUGGUUCCAUUGUUUUGGUUACUCGAAAAACCAAUUCCCGAGCCCCACCCCUCACUGGUCUGUCUCGGAAGAGGAGAUAGACUUUGUAUUCUGGGAGAAGGCGUCCACCCUACCCGAGGACAAGACCCCAACCAAGGACCUGAACUUGUUAUGAGACUGUUAAAUAUUAUUUUGUCUGUUUUUGUACUAUUUUCUGGCAAUGUAAUUAUGUAUGUACCACUUCAUGUCAUCAUAAUAACUAUAAUUAUAUGCG